rnacentral:rRNA from 1 species
UGCAAGUCGAACGCUUCUUUUUCCACCGGAGCUUGCUCCACCGGAAAAAGAAGAGUGGCGAACGGGUGAGUAACACGUGGGUAACCUGCCCAUCAGAAGGGGAUAACACUUGGAAACAGGUGCUAAUACCGUAUAACAAUCAAAACCGCAUGGUUUUGAUUUGAAAGGCGCUUUCGGGUGUCGCUGAUGGAUGGACCCGCGGUGCAUUAGCUAGUUGGUGAGGUAACGGCUCACCAAGGCCACGAUGCAUAGCCGACCUGAGAGGGUGAUCGGCCACAUUGGGACUGAGACACGGCCCAAACUCCUACGGGAGGCAGCAGUAGGGAAUCUUCGGCAAUGGACGAAAGUCUGACCGAGCAACGCCGCGUGAGUGAAGAAGGUUUUCGGAUCGUAAAACUCUGUUGUUAGAGAAGAACAAGGAUGAGAGUAACUGUUCAUCCCUUGACGGUAUCUAACCAGAAAGCCACGGCUAACUACGUG